rnacentral:rRNA from 1 species
AGAGGCCAAACCGAAGGACCUGGUUCUUCGGGGUUGUGGACUGCAUCAAGCGAUGGAGGCUAUGGUAGUCGAACUGUUUUGGGAAAGCAGACCAAAGACGGUGAAAGUCCGGUAGACGAAACCAGAAGACCCGCUGCAGGAUCCAGAGUACCACGGGACACGAGAAACCCUGUGGGAAGCCGGGGGGACCACCCCCCAAGCCUAAAUACUCCCCAGUGACCGAUAGUGAAGCAGUACUGUGAAGGAAAGGUGAAAAGAACCCCGGGAGGGGAGUGAAAAAGAACCUGAAACCUUGUGCUUACAAACAGUCAGAGGUCUUCGGACUGAUGGCGUACUUUUUGUAGAACGGUCCGGCGAGUUACUAAUGCCAGCGAGGUUAAGUGGUCAGAAGCCACGGAGCCGAAGGGAAACCAAGUCUGAAUAGGGCGUAAAGUUAGUAUUAGUAGACCCGAAACCGGGUGACCUAUCCAUGUCCAGGUUGAAGGAGCCGUAAAAGGCUUUGGAGGACCGAACACACAUCUGUUGAAAAAGGUGGUGAUGAGGUGUGGAUAGCGGAGAAAUUCCAAUCGAACUCGGAGAUAGCUGGUUCUCCUCGAAAUAGCUUUAGGGCUAGCCUCGAGAUGGAGUCUAACGGAGGUAAAGCACUGAACUGACGCGGGGCCCAAAAAGGUUACCAACUCAUAUCAAACUAAGAAUGCCGUCAAGAUACCCUCGGGAGUCAGUCUGCGUGAGAUAAGUCGCGUGGACAAAAGGGAAAGAGCCCAGACCGACAGCUAAGGUCCCAAAGUACGUGUUAAGUGGAAAAGGAUGUGGGAUUUCAUAGACAACUAGGAUGUUGGCUUAGAAGCAGCCAUACAUUUAAAGAGUGCGUAACAGCUCACUAGUCGAGAAAACCUGCGCCGAAAAUUUAACGGGGCUAAAACACGACACCGAAGCUACGGAUUUCCUACUAGGUAGGAAGUGGUAGAGGAGCAUCCUGCAAGGACGAAGCCAAAGUGUAAGCGAUGGUGGACGAAACAGGAGAGAGAAUGCCGGAAUGAGUAGCGAGAUAGAAGUAAGAAACUUCUAGGCCGAAUAUCUAAGGUUUCCUGGGUAAAGCUAAUCUUCCCAGGGUUAGUCGGGGCCUAAGGCGAGGACGAAAGUCGUAGUCGAUGGAUAACAGGUUGAUAUUCCUGUACUACGUAUCAUCAGAACUGUGGGGACGCAGGAGGAUAGGAAAACCGGGGAAUGGAAAAACCCGGCCAAGUACAAAGUCAAGGGAGAUAGGCAAAUCCGUCUCUUGAUGAUGAAGUGCGAUGGGGACUGAACAAAAGUAGGGAAGUUUCCGAAUCCACACUGUCGAGAAAAGCCGCUAUUGUGUGAUACGUACCCGUACCGUAAACCGACACAGGUAGAUGAGGAGAAAAUCCACAGGCCGACGGGAGAAGUGUUGUUAAGGAACUCGGCAAAAUGACCCCGUAACUUAGGGAGAAGGGGAGCCACGCAAGUGGCCGCAGAAAAGAGGCUCAAGCGACUGUUUAGCAAAAACACAGGUCUCUGCGAAACCGAAAGGUGAAGUAUAGGGGCUGACACCUGCCCGGUGCUGGAAGGUUAAAAGGAGAGGUUCGACGUAAGUCAAAGCUUUGAAUUCAAGCCCCAGUAAACGGCGGCCGUAACUAUAACGGUCCUAAGGUAGCGAAAUUCCUUGUCAGGUAAGUUCUGACCCGCACGAAAGGUGUAACGAUUUGAGCACUGUCUCGACAACACGCCCGGUGAAAUUGAAGAACCAGUGAAGAUACUGGUUACCCGCAACAGGACGGAAAGACCCCAUGGAGCUUUACUGCAGCCUGAUACUGGGAUUCGAUGAUAUAUGUACAGGAUAGGAGGGAGACUAGGAAUCCGGGACGCCAGUUUCGGAGGAGUCGACGGUGGGAUACCUCUCUUAUGUUAUUGGAUUUCUAACUUGGCACCGUCAUCCGGUGUGAGGACAAUGUCAGGCGGGCAGUUUGACUGGGGCGGUCGCCUCCUAAAAGGUAACGGAGGCGCUCGAAGGUCACCUCAGAAUGAUUGGAAACCAUUCAAAGAGUGUAAAGGCAAAAGGUGGCUUGACUGCGACACCGACGGGUGGAGCAGGUACGAAAGU